rnacentral:rRNA from 1 species
UCCUGCCAGUAGUCAUAUGCUUGUCUCAAAGAUUAAGCCAUGCAUGUCUGAGUGCAGGCCUUGAUACGGUGAAACCGCGAAUGGCUCAUUAAAUCAGCUAUGGUUUAUUGGAUCGUACCCGUUAAAUGGAUAACUGUAAUGACUCUAGAGCUAAUACAUGCCUCAAUGCCCUGAGCCUGCUUGCUAAGCCUCUCUCAGUUUGUUUGGUGGGUCGGCGAUGGGUGCACUUAUUAGAUCAGAAGCCAGCCAACCAACCAACCAACCAACCUACCGACCAACAAACCCACCAACCAACCAGAGAACCAACCAGCCAACCAACCAACUACGUGCUUGCGGCUGUAAGGUUGUAGCACGUGGUGCAUUGGGCUGUGUUGGGCUGUGUUGUGUUGGGCUGUGUUGUGUUGGGCUGUGUUGUGUUGUGUUGGGCUGUGUUGCGUUGCGUUGAGUUGAGACACCUCUGGUGACUCUGGAUAAUUGUUACAGAUCGCAGUCGGCCUGGAGCCGGCGACGGGUCCUUCAAAUGUCUGCCCUAUCAACUUUCGAUGGUAGGUGACCUGCCUACCAUGGUGAUAACGGGUAACGGGGAAUCAGGGUUCGAUUCCGGAGAGGGAGCCUGAGAAACGGCUACCACUUCCAAGGGAGGCAGCAGGCGCGCAAAUUACCCACUCCCAGCACGGGGAGGUGGUGACGAAAAAUACCGAUGCGGGACUCCUUCAAGAGGCUCCGUAAUCGGAAUGAGUGGACUCUAAAUCCUUUCACGAGGAUCAAUUGGAGGGCAAGUCCGGUGCCAGCAGCCGCGGUAACUCCAGCUCCAAUAGCGUAUAUUAAAGUUGCUGCAGUUAAAAAGCUCGUAGUUGGAUCUCGGUGGCGCUGUUGCCUGUUGACAAUUGAGCGGCUGGUGUAUGACCACGGGUGACCACAGGUGCUGCGUGGCUGUUUGUGGGUGUGUGCGUGAGGAAGAGCGUGGAGGAAGAGCCCGCAAUGACGAGGCGACUUCUCUUGACUGCAUGGCUGGUUUGCAGUCAGUCAGUCAAGUGAGGUGUGGUGCCAGUCAAGGCUGGCUUUUUCGGUUCGCCGGUUCGCUGUUUCACCUGCAAUGCCGGGUACCUGUGGAUGAAAGUCGGUGGUCAUGGAUUAGCACUGCCGUGUCAAGCCGACAACGUGGUGGUGGUGUCACCUUUGAGCCAUGUCUGUGGUGUGACAGCCACAGGUGUGGGCGGGCGUUGAGCAGCGCUGUGCACAUGCUGUGCAGUCUGCCGGCUCGUCUGCAUGCCUGUGGAUGCCCUUCAAAAGGUGUCCGUGGGCGGAUGGCACGUUUACUUUGAGCAAAUUUGAGUGCUCAAAUCAGGCCGAUGUUGCCUGUAAAGUUUUGCAUGGAAUAAUGGAAUAGGACUUCGGUUCUAUUUCGUUGGUUUUCGGAUCCGAGGUAAUGAUCAAAAGAGACAGGCGGGGACGUUUGUAUGGCUGCGCUAGAGGUGAAAUUCAUGGACCGUAGCCAGACAGACUAAAGCGAAAGCAUUCGUCAAGCAUGUUUUCAUUGGCCAUGAGCGAAAGUCAGAGGCUCGAAGACGAUCAGAUACCGUCCUAGUUCUGACCAUAAACGAUGCCAACUGACGAUCCGUGGUGGUAGUGCUGAUACCUUCCCCACGGGCAGUCCCCGGGAAACCUUUAAGUGUGUGGGUUCCGGGGGAAGUAUGGUUGCAAAGCUGAAACUUAAAGGAAUUGACGGAAGGGCACCACCAGGAGUGGAGCCUGCGGCUUAAUUUGACUCAACACGGGAAAACUCACCCGGGCCGGACACUAUGAGGAUUGACAGAUUGAGAGCUCUUUCUUGAUUUGGUGGUUGGUGGUGCAUGGCCGUUCUUAGUUGGUGGAGCGAUUUGUCUGGUUAAUUCCGAUAACGAACGAGACUCCAGCCUGCUAAUUAGUGCAUUUGUCCACUGCAUCUGUGCAGGCAGGCAACGCUGCACCACACUGCUGCCACAUGUACCUGCAUCUCUCUCUCUCUCUCCAUCCAUCCAUCCAUCCAUCCUUCAUCCCUCCCUCCCUCCCUCCCUCCUAGCUUCCACCGCACCAGCUGUCCAUCUUUAAUGCCAUCUAUUACCCGCCCAACUGGGACAAGGUGGUAGGUGACAUGUUAGUUGGUCGGUCGGUCGGUCGGUCGGUCGGUCGAUCGAUCGGUGGAUUGGUCGGUAGGUAGGUAGGUAGGUAGGUAGGUAGCUGUGGAUUGGAUGGUGUUGGUGUUGGUUGGCGGGGUUGUAGUGUUAGUGGUGGAUCGGUGGGUGUGGCGUUGGCCCCCGGAUGCGGCGCGAAUGGCUACUUCUUAGAGGGACAAGCGGGAGAAGCCGCACGAAAUAGAGCAAUAACAGGUCUGUGAUGCCCUUAGAUGUCCGGGGCCGCACGCGCGCUACAAUGACGGUGUCAACGAGUGAGGCCUUCUGGCCCGAAAGGGUUGGGUAAACUGGUCAAUCACCGUCGUGACAGGGAUCGGGGCUUGCAAUUAUUCCCCGUGAACGAGGAAUUCCUAGUAAGUGCAAGUCAUAAGCUUGCGCUGAUUACGUCCCUGCCCUUUGUACACACCGCCCGUCGCUACUACCGAUUGAAUGGUUUAGUAAGGUCCUUGGAUUGGCGCCAUUGUGGUGGGCGCCGAGAGGUGCUCACUCAGCAGGUGCUAAGAAGACGACCGAACUUGAUCAUUUAGAGGAAGUAAAAGUCGUAACAAG